UUAUCUAAUAACUUGUUUAUUGACUUAUUAUUAUAUAAAUUAGUAUAAACACUCAUGUUAAAAACUUAGUAGCCAUACUUAGAAUCACAACCAAAAUAAAUAUCACACAUUGGCUAUUUAUACUUAUGUGUAUGUAAUUUGCUCUUCAACUUGCAUUUGCAAUAAUUAUAAAUAAAGCGUUGUCGUAUUAUGUGAAGUCUUGCUUGAGAAUGCACUGAGCACUUGGCUAUGGAAGGUAAAAGAAAAUUGCAACAAAAGGUCCUAACAAUCCAAUAGGAUUAUAGAAAAUUUACAAUUAAACGUUAACAAUCAUAAUCAAACAUUAAACAAGCUCAAUUAAAUUUUAUUGAAGUUAUAAAAGAAACACAAGGAAAUCCUAAAGAAAUAUGAAAUAAUAUUAAAGAAAACUUAGUCAAACCCUAACAAAAAUCUAAUAGAACCUUAAAUUCUAACCAAAUCCUAAUCCUAAUCUAACCUUAAUCAAACCCUAGACAAACCCUAAAUCCUAAACCAAAUCCUAAUCAAACAUUAAUCCCUAACCAAAUCCUAAACCAAAUCCUAAACCCUAAAUCAAACCCUAAUCCAAAUCCUAAAUCCCAAACCAAAUCCUAACCAAACCCUAAACCAAACCCUAAUAAUUCCUAUAAUAGAU
rnacentral:lncRNA from 1 species